GCCAAAGGAGGAGAGCUACGAAAAGGCUAAAAAAAACAGAGAGGGAGGCUGCGGAGAGUGAGAAGAAAACAGAGCAAAACAGAGGAAGUGAAAAGGGGGCUAAGAGUAAGAAAUAGCCAAGGGGGUGGCGGACCGAGAGGAAGGAGAGAAACGGAAAACAAAAGGGAAGAAUUCAAUUGGAAAAGAGAGAGGAGAGGAUUCGGCUGAGGGAGAGAACCAAAGAAAGAAAAGGAGGGAGAUAGACAGAAACGAGGGAGCUCUCGGCUGAAAAAAAGAAGGAAAAGAAACAGAGCAAGGCUACGGGAAAGAGUAACAAAAAAAAAACAGAGGGGGAUUGGCGGCUGGUGUGGUGGAGAAAGAAUUGAAGCAAAAGAAACCGAAAGGGAAACCUGGGAAACUUGGGGAGGUUUUCGGAGGACAGAACGGAGAGAGAGCCGAACAAAAAAUCUGAGCGACGGAAGAACAGAAAAAAGAAAGGAAACCAGAGGGGAGAGGAAAGAGACUUUGGCGGGGAAAAGAAAAACGAAGAAAAAUAGAGGGCGGAGGACGGAGGAGCUAAGAGAGAUUGGGAGUGGCGGCUAAAAAAACAAAGCAACAAAGAAAGGCUGAAAAAGAAGCUUCGGGCAGUUGAAGGCUUGGGCGAGGGAAAAAGGAACAGAGGACAACCGAGAGCUAGAAGGAGAAGAGCAGAGGAGCGGCUGGAAAAGACUGGAGCUGGCCGAAAUCUACUGCCAUCACCGACGAGCCUCCACCGAGAGGGUAAGGGUAAAAGUAAUUUCACUCCAUUAGGGCCAACUCAAGGGAGGUACACCCUAUCCCUUAUUUUUACUUUGUUAAUGUUUGCAAUCAAGUCUUUUAUUCUUUUGACUUCUGGAAUGUGGGUUGUUUAUAUGAUUUAAUUGAUUCAAUUUCAUGUUUAUUUUCAAUUUCAUGAUCAUUUGCCAAUUAAAGCGAUGUCUUGACCCUUUCUUUUAUUUUGGAGGGUAAAAGUAAUUUCACUCCAUUAGGGCCAACUCAAGGGAGGUACACCCUAUCACUUAUUUUUACUUUAUUCGACCUUAUGUGUACUUAUGUGAUUUAUGUGUUAAUUGCAUGUCUUUUGUGAAUGUUUUCAUUUUAUUUAUUUAUUUACUCGCUUUAGUUGUCUUAAUUUCGUAUAUUUAUUUUAGUUCAUUUUGAUUAUUUGGGAGGCACUCGAAUGCCAAAAUUGUAAUAGUUAGGGAUUUAAUCGUUUUAUUUCUUCUUAUUUCCCCUUUUAGAUUGUAGUAGGCUUCCCCCUCCAAAUGUAAUAGUUAGGUUUUCUUUGUUUUUCUUUGGGUGAUUUGCAUGCCUAUGUGCUAUUUGUUACCGCUUUCAUAGGCUUUUGCAUCUAGACAAGCAUGCUUAUGUGUUACGUGCUAUGUGAAACUAUGUGUUUUGCAUGUCUAUUUGCUUUAGUAUUAUAUCUGAUUAUGUGGGUGAAUGCACGUCACCGUGGCUAGUCCAAUGCUAGUCAUGGCCUCCCCCUCGAGUUCUUACAAGUCCAAUGCUUGUAAAUGAUCGUUAGUAAAAGGCUAGUCCAAUGCUAGACCCAAUAGGCCGUCCCCUCUCGUUAGUGCAUACUUGCAUGUUUCACUACAUUUCAUACAUUUUUCUUAGUUUUCUAGCAUUUGGCAUGCUCCUCCAAUCCUUUCCCCUUUAUUUUAGGUUUUUGCAUCCUCAUGCUAGUUAUAGGGUACAUUUGCUUGAGAGUCCCCUUUCGGUAAGGGAAACGAGCCAGUAUGGCUACAAAAUAGCCUUAGCACGCUAGUUCUUCCUUCUAAUGAAAGGAAAAAUUAAAAAUCAUGAAGUUAGGAGUCAUUCCCGUACCCGACUUGAUGCAUUCCUCUAGGUGCAUACACUCUCAUUUUUAUCAUAUCACUUCCUCACUUUCUUUAUCUACAUUUUCUCACUACUUAUAUUUUUCUCACUCCACAUGCCAUGUUCACACAUUUUUCUUCUUUCCCUAUCACUUAUUUAUUUUCUACCUCACAAAUUGCACCCAAUCGCACUUAUAUGCAUUUACUACUAUUAUACCAUAUUUUCAUCCACCUGCACACAAACACCUUUAUUUUCUCAAUUGGCACACAUGCACUUUUCUUACAUUUGCACACAUUGCACUUCUCUUACAUUUUUCACACUUGCACUCAUAUUUGGGUCUUCAUUUGCAUUACCCGUGACCUCUAUGAGAGUUUUCCUUAUUGGCCAUCACAACUCAUGUGAUUGGGACCAAAAAGCCUCAUAAGAGACAUUUUAGAUUUAGGAUUGCAUUUUUUCAUAUCCAUUAGUCAUAUCCAACAUGCAACACAUACUUUGGGUAGAAAAAAAAUUGGAAAAGUGGGGCUAAGUCACGCAACUAGCUUUGGCUAGGGUAAGGGAGUGCCUUAGGCUUUGCCUUUGCCUUCUCCCUUAUCAAAUGUGACUCCCGAUCCCUUUCUUUGGUUACGUAGAUCUAAAAUUGUUUAAAAAGGGUUUGUUUACUUUUCUUUCCAAGAAAUCACUUUUUUGGGUGACUUGAUACACCCUAACUCUAUACCAAGUGGCGAUUCUAUUUUCCAUUCAAAAACCCUUUUUGAACUUUGUUUGGCCAAACCGUCGCAUUUCACAAUCACACGGCAUUUUAUUUUCAUUUUCACACACGUUCACAUACAUAUCCCACACACUACAUUCACAUUUCAAAAAGUGGGGCGCGACAUUUUCAUUAUAUAAUUUGGUAUAUGUUAAGUUUCGUAGUGCAUUAUACUAGUGUAACUAACUAGUGAGGUGUGUGCAAUAAAUUUGAUGGACACGAAAGAGUUUUGUGCAAAGGAGAUUAUGUAACAAGAAGUGUUAGAACUUAACUGGAGAAGCAUUAAAGAUCUUGGAGAUUAGAGACAAAUCAAGAGAGACAAGGAGAUAGGCUUGAACCAAGCUUUGCCAAAUGUCGAUGAUCCAAGCCUUCUUUGACCAAGAUAAGUCUUGUAUUUAACUUCCAUUUCACAACCAAAACUCCUUCGUUUUUCCUUCUUGUGGCCGAAAAUAGAGAGAGAAAAGGGAGAGAAAAAAACCUCAAGUUCUAACCUUAAUCUCUUACUUGAUUCAUGAGAAAACAAAAAAAAAACCCUAAUCUACUUCGUAGAUCUUUGAAGCAAGUGUGAAAGGGAGCUUUUGGUGAAGUUCUUGGAGGAAGAAAGACCUUGAUUUACUUUCUAACCUAGGGUUUUGAGGUAAAUUGUUAGAAAACUUCUCUUUCUUUUCUUAUCCUGAAAUUUAUUUGAUACAUGUAGCGAUAGAAGCUAUGUUUUUAUCAUGUUUUAUUGAAAUUUCCAGCUUUGGUGUAAGAUAUAUGUAGCUUAGUUUAGAACUUUAUACAUGUGAAAUUUUGGUGGAUUUGGUUGCCAAAAAGAUAUUUCAUACACCCUAUGAUAUGUUAUCUUGAUUGAUAGUGAUUUUGCCAUGAAAAUAGGGUUGAAAAUUGAAAGGUUAACUUGAGGAAUUUGGGGUUAUAUUGCUGCAAAUUCUUUCUUGGUUGGUCAAGUGAGAGAGUGAGAGUUGAGGUGUAAGUUUAGAAUGAUUUUGACCUCCUUUACUAGAGUUAAUUGGGAAUACCUUGAUUUUUCACAUAUCUGUUGGUUUUGAGCCAAAACAAAAUGAUUGAAGAUGAGGCAAAUGAUGUUUAUUCCAAAACGUUUUAUAGUUGGAAGUGUCCAGCUUUAAACUCGAGAUUUUUGUCACUUUUCUUCAAAAAGUCAUGCCUACAUUUAACAUAAUUUUGCUCCAUGUUGUGCCUGUGGUAUUGAGCUACAUCUACAUGGUUUUUUCAUUAAUUUUCACAAGUAAAAGGUGUGAUUUUGAACCGCUAAUGGCUUCUUGUUAUAUGAUGUCUAAUUGCAAAUUUCGAAAGUGGCUAAGAAGCAGAGUCUGAGCUUGACAUUGACAGACCUUAAUUAGUUGGUGAGUAUACCAAUUGCAUGGUAGAAAUUGCUACCUGAUUGAAAUGCUCUUUUGAUGUGAAUAAGCAAUACUUGACACGAGAUCGUGAUUGAAUGAAUGUUAUUGCUAUGCUCUUGAUUUGUUUUGGUUGGUCGCAUGUGUAUCUUAUCGCACUUGCCCUAACUGGACUAUAGUACUGUGCACUGUUUGCAAAUGAAUUGAUGUUCAUGUGCAUGAUUUGGAAGUAACUCUUUGGGAUCCCAAACUUCAUUGGCUAGUUAGUCGAAUCGAGCCAACAAGAGCAUGGUUGAGGAGAUUGACAAACCAUAGAGUUUGGGCCCAGUAGGGAUUGAUCGAUGGACGGAGAUUGGAGAUAAGCGGUAUUCUACUGGACUUGUUACUAUAUUCCUAUGGUUGAUGAAGUGUCAGCGGAUCCUGGUCAAGUUGUUGCCAAACUAGCUCACAAGAGCAAACUGUAUCCUUAUGCGUGAAAGUGUUAAUUGCUUAUCUGACUUGUUUACUUGAAAUGUUACUGACUUAUCUUGUGAACAUUUACUUUUUUUAGUUUGAGAUUAAGAUAUAUGUAACUGCCAACUUGCUACUUUGUUUGCAUGUUGUCUUGGAACCUCAUUGGGUGAUAGCUCACUCCGUUAGUUUGUUUUCCUUACAGGGGGCGAAAACGUGGGCGUGUGAGUUAGAGAAGGCUGGCAUUUUGGUCUAGGUCCCUUGUCUUUUGUUCUGGUGUUCUUCUAAUUUUAGCGGGUUAACUUGAGUUUGAAUCUCUUGUUAUAUUUUGGAUCCGUAUGGGAAUUCAAUGAUUACGAAUGUAUAUAUCUAAGUUUCAAAGUUACUAUUGCUUUUGUUCUCGAUGCUCUGGUAUUGUAUUGGGACUUAUGUGUGAGACCUGGUGAGAGCUGGACAGACGGUCCGCCAAACCUUGAGGUACACCCUAAGAGGAGGUGGGGUCGUUAUAAAAAAUAAUAAAAUCAGCACCUAACAAUAUGAAAUUAUACUAUUUUCUGGAUAUCCUGAAACAAAUCAAUACGUUUCAAGUAUUAAAUAGUAUAAACCAAGAAAUUGCUAACAGUAGUUAGAUUUUGAAUACAACUUGAGAACUAGCCUAAUUUAGAGUAGUUCUUGCGAAUUAAAGAUGAUAUUAGAUAGAGGAUUUCUUGGCCAGCUUGCAAGUUCGGCAACCUUCUCAUGUGCCCUUUUACGACAAGCUUUGUUACAAACAUAUAUAAUUUGAAUAUGCAGUCAUGAACGUGCAAGUUUAUUAUCCAAAAGAGAAUGCACCUUAUUGAUUCCUUGGCUGAUGGAGAAGGUAUGAGGCUAGAUUCAUUAGUCUGCAUGAAGGUGGAGUUUUUAUUCUAUAAAAACCUUGGUUGGGCUGGUGAAGAGUGCAUGGUAGGCAUGAAUUUCUAUGGCUAUUUAUGACAUUUGUAUGAAUUGGAUGGUGCUUUACUAGUGUUCGUAUUAGGGGUUUCUUGCUAUGUAAUUGUUAGGUUGUAUUUGUUUGAUCAUUUUGAGGAAUAUUUGUUUAAUUAUUUUGUGGAAUAAUGUUUUGUUUGAAGAUAUGGAGUUGAAUUAUAUGUCAAUUAAUCAGUUAGAUGAUAGAACUCAUGGGUACAUUAUUUGGGUUGUGAUAGUCGAAAAGAGGUUGAUUCAACAUAGUCAUUACAUGGGGCGAAGAUAUCAACGGUUUGUUUUUGCUGAUGAUUUGGAUGAUGCUAAUGAUAUGCAGUGUGGGAGGAUUUUAUUGAGCCAGAUGGUAUGCAUCUUAUCCAAAUUGCACAUCAGCACCCCAUUAUUUUAGUUUGUAGGCCUCGAAUUACUCAUUUUUGUGGAGUAUCACUUGCCAUGUAGCAGCAGACUAUUAUCAUGUAUAAUGUUGAUCUUCCACGAACUCAUGUAUUAUGGCGAUGGUGUGAAGGAAUGCCAAGAAGUGGAGGUGGUUAGUUGGUGGAAAAAGUCUUGGCCGUUGUGGUGGUGGCUACAAAGUUGUGGUUGUUUAGUUAUUCUUAUGGAUAGCUUUGAUUUAUAUAGUUUAUGUGUGUAGGAAGAGUUGGAUAUAAUUUAGUGAAAUAGAUUGUAAAGUGGUCUUUGUUUCGUUGUUUUAUUGGAGUGGGCUUUUUGUUUCUAUUAUUUGUAAUGGGCUUGCUUGUUUUAAUAGAAGGAUGAAAGUUAUAAAUAUGUAAGGUGCUAUUGAGUUGUAUUU